rnacentral:rRNA from 1 species
AUUGAACGCUGGCGGCAGGCUUAACACAUGCAAGUCGAGCGGAGAUGAGGUGCUUGCACCUUAUCUUAGCGGCGGACGGGUGAGUAAUGCUUAGGAAUCUGCCUAUUAGUGGGGGACAACAUUCCGAAAGGAAUGCUAAUACCGCAUACGUCCUACGGGAGAAAGCAGGGGAUCUUCGAACCUUGCGCUAAUAGAUGAGCCUAAGUCGGAUGAGCUAGUUGGUGGGGUAAAGGCCUACCAAGGCGACGAUCUGUAGCGGGUCUGAGAGGUGUGUCCGCCACACUGGGACUGAGACACGGCCCGGACUCCUACGGAAGGCAGCAGUGGGGAAUAUUGGACAAUGGGGGGAACCAUGAUCCAGCCAUGCCGCGUGUGUGAAGAAGGCCUUAUGGUUGUAAAGCACUUUAAGCGAGGAGGAGGCUACUGAGACUAAUACUCUUGGAUAGUGGACGUUACUCGCAGAAUAAGCACCGGCUAACUCUGUGCCAGCAGCCGCGGUAACAC